UACGGAGGAGGCUAGCGUUGUUCGGAAUUACUGGGCGUAAAGCGCACGUAGGCGGCGAUUCAAGUCGGGGGUGAAAGGCCCGGGGCCUCAACCCCGGAACUGACCCUCGAAACUAGAUUGCUAGAAUUCUGGAGAGGUCGAGUGGAAUUCCGAGUGUAGAGGUGAAAAUUCGUAGAUAUUCGGAAGAACACCAGUGGCGAAGGCGACUGACUGGACAGAUAUUGACGCUGAGGUGCGAAAGCGUGGGGAGCAAACAGG
rnacentral:rRNA from 1 species